rnacentral:rRNA from 1 species
AUGAACGCUGGCGGCAUGCCUUACACAUGCAAGUCGAACGGCAGCGCGUCCUUCGGGAUGGCGGCGAGUGGCGAACGGGUGAGUAAAGCAUCGGAACGUGCCCGGUAGUGCGGGAUAGCUCGGCGAAAGCCGGAUUAAUACCGCAUGAGAUCCGUGGAUGAAAGCAGGGGACCUGAAAGGGCCUUGCGCUACUGGAGCGGCCGAUGUCAGAUUAGGUAGUUGGUGAGGUAAAGGCUCACCAAGCCUGCGAUCUGUAGCUGGUCUGAGAGGAUGAUCAGCCACAUCGGGACUGAGACACGGCCCGAACUCCUACGGGAGGCAGCAGUGGGGAAUUUUGGACAAUGGGCGCAAGCCUGAUCCAGCCAUGCCGCGUGCAGGAUGAAGGCCCUCGGGUUGUAAACUGCUUUUGUACGGAACGAAAAGCCUCUCUCGAAUAAAGAGGGGUGAUGACGGUACCGUAAGAAUAAGCACCGGCUAACUACGUG